rnacentral:lncRNA from 14 species
UAGGAACACUCUACCUUGAAGGGCACUGAAAGGUUAACAGCUUUCAGGAUCUCAGGCAGGUUGGUUCACAGCACAGCAUCCUGGGAAGUUGGGCCAAUACAAGUGCUUUUCCAUGCAAAGACAUCCCAUAUGGUUGUUUGUCACCACAUCCAACGUACUCAAUGUCAGUGUGCAGAGAUCUCAUCUCCAAGCCAUGCUGGCUUAGCAGCUGGAAGCCAGCACCUUUCUUCCACCAGAUACCAUCCAACCUUGAAUCCCAUCAUCCAGAUAUGCAGAACAGUGGCCCAAAGCAAAGCUCUUCCUUCACUGAUACUUCUAUCCAGAUGAUGGGUUAGUUUAGAUGGUAAAGAACUUUUCUAACAUUACCAAUGUGAAGAAAUAAAGAGCUAUCAAACCAAA